UUGAUUGAAAUACUAUUAAUGUUCAAUUUAUAGAAUAAUAUUUUUACACCAUCAUUAUUUCGCGUGAUCACUGUGAUCUAUUUUACGGUAUAACGUUAGUGAUCUACUAUGGAGAUAUUUAUUAUUUAUAGUUACCACUGGGACAUGACGUAAUAUAAAUAUGAUACUGAAGCACGUAUACAAACAAAAACAAGUCUUUUGGAAAAGAUGUAGAUACAAAUGGUGUACAUCUCAAUUUUAUUAACAACAGAUUCAAGAAUAACCAUAGCGUUCUAAUCACACGACGGAAAAACGGUGUUUGAAGAUUUUAAAGUUAUGACCAUUUUUGACCACGCAUUAUAUAUGAUCCAUAUUCCAUGACGAUGGUCUAUGAUGACCGAUGAGCAUAGUACACUGAUAAUAUUAUUACAUCAAAUACCAACAGAUAUUUCGCCCUUUCGUCGAAAGAGGAGUGAAGCUCGAUCAGUGCCAAGUACUCAUGUUCCAUACUUCCAUGGCCAG